rnacentral:rRNA from 1 species
CAGCAGUAGCCGCGGUAAUACAGAGGGUGCGAGCGUUAAUCGGAUUUACUGGGCGUAAAGCGUGCGUAGGCGGCUUUUUAAGUCGGAUGUGAAAUCCCUGAGCUUAACUUAGGAAUUGCAUUCGAUACUGGGAAGCUAGAGUAUGGGAGAGGAUGGUAGAAUUCCAGGUGUAGCGGUGAAAUGCGUAGAGAUCUGGAGGAAUACCGAUGGCGAAGGCAGCCAUCUGGCCUAAUACUGACGCUGAGGUACGAAAGCAUGGGGAGCAAACAGGAUUAGAUACCCGAGUAGUCCCUGUCUCUUAUAC